UGAUCCCUCGCGGGAGAGAUCGCUUGUGAGCUUGUCGUAAAUCGACAGGUCCGCAGGCGGCGCCGAAGGAGCAACCGCCCCCGGAAACUCUCAGGCAAAAGGACCGCAAGGGGAUA
rfam:Azospirillum humicireducens strain SgZ-5, complete genome.